rnacentral:lncRNA from 10 species
ACAAGUGUAAGCUUCCUAAAGCUCCUGAGCACUAAGUGGCAUACAAAGAGGAAGAUUAUUAUGUUGGCCGUGUGAGGAAUGGAUUGGACAGAGGUACAGUAGGGAAGGCAUGUGGACUAAGAGCCUUUUGGGUCUAGGUGAGGGGUUAUGAGGUGCCUUGAACAUCUUGAUCUACUGUAAAUUUGUAAAUAUGGUAGUAUGAGCUACUUACACCAUUCAGGCAGCAGUGGGAUAGGAAAAGAGGGAAGACAUCUUUGAUGUUGAUACACUCAUUGAAGGCACUAGUUGACCAGUUGGAUGUGAAGUCUGAGGAGGAUUAUGACCUCAGGCACACCCAUCCACACACAGAGCAGUCACCACCAGGGAAACAUGGUGGAUUGAGGAGAGAUGGCAGAAGUGGCCCUCGCCUCAUCUAAUGACAAAGAAAGGAAAUGACUAGAACCGAUGAGGUCUAAAUGUAAUGGAGAGGAAGCUUCAGCAAUGAGCCAAGAGUCCCUCUGCUCACAGUUUUCCAAGGGAGAGAAUUACGGGAAGACACAGCUUCCGGCAUUUAGAAGUGAGAAUGUUUUCAUCAUCAAAAUAGUGAGGUCUAUUUUAAAUAGUUUGGCUAAUUAGGUGCUGAUUAAAUUGCAUUGCUCCCAUAUGUUUGUGCUUUCUUCUAUGCAGAGUUUAUCUGCCUGAAAAGUCUAGGUAAAUUAUGUGUCUAUGAAGGAAUUCUUUGAUACCUUGCACCUAGUAAGCACUCAGAAGUAUUGAGUAAAAUUAUUUUAUGAAGCUAAUUAUCAUAAUGGUACAAA